rfam:Tolypothrix campylonemoides VB511288 scaffold_3, whole genome shotgun sequence.
GUUAAGUGCCAACCCCAUGCCUAAAAGGCAGGGGCUUGGUGGUUAACUCCACCUGACCAGACUAAUCGUUUAGAUUAAGCGUUUAAGUUCUUACCUUGGAAUGCUUGCCAGUUCCAAGCUCUAAAACUGAGCGAUUAAACAGGCUUACGGAGCAAUAUUCCAGUGUCGUUCGGAAAGUACCGGAUCUAAACAAAGUCGAGGCAAACUUUAC